UGAGUGGUAGACACAAAAAGUAAAGCUAAAACUAUAAAUAUCCUAGAAAAAACAUAGAAGAAUAUUUAUAAGGCCUUAUAAUAGUCAAGCAUACCAGAUUGAAAACACAAAAUGUACUGUUAAAAGUAGCUGAUUAUCUGUACUUCAUCGAAUUAAACACUUCAGCUCAUCAAAAGACAAUACUUAAGAAUGAAAAGGCAGGCUCAGAAAAGAAAAUAUAUUUUUGUACAUAUGUCUUUCUAAGGAGUGGUAUUCAAAAUAUGUAAAAAUAAACAAAUAUCACAUGGAACAACAUAGAUGGAUCUCAGAAAUAUCAUAUUUAACAGAAGAGGCCAAACCCAAAAGACCACUGUGGGAUUCCAUUACAUGAAUAUCAACAAGAGGAAACUCUAACUUACGACGAUGAGAACAAGAACAGCAAUGUCGGUGGGUAAGUAAUCUAGAGCAAUUCUAUUGUUUAGCAGAACUUUCACAAGAGAAUUUAAAGUCUGUCAUGUAACCAUUGUUCUAGAUUGCGAAGGGGUUCAUUGUGUCCUCAGGGAACCAUAAAAAGCUUUCUUUGUCUGGUGAAAAUAGACUGUGGCAUAAUAAUCUUCUUUUAUAACAUUUGUCUGCUUGCAUGGGAAAUCCCUUCUACAACCAGAAAACGUGCAUUGAAAAUUAAAAUUGAUGAAAUCCCUGUGUAAAUGCUUAAAUGGCUCAUUGGGUAGUCAAAACUGCAGCUUUGAUUGUCUUCCCAGGAAUAUGGAUUUGACAAACCAAACAUUAGUCAUAAACUGUUUUAGCAAUUUAGAAAUCACCAAACCAAUAUAUUUUUAAUAUGGAUCACUUUAUCUUUUCAAUGAUGAGUCACAGAAUGUACAACCUUUAAUAACGAAAUAUUUAAGGACUCAGGAAAGAGAAGGUGGCUGCCCU
rnacentral:lncRNA from 1 species